ACACAGCUGUGGACAAUAUAAGCAGUCAGAGUAGCCCAUUUUCUCACACAGAUGAGGAGCAACCAGUAAGAAAAAGCAAAAAGAUGUUUUGAUGUUGCCUGAGGCACCUUAUUCACACCAGUCAAUUUCUUCCAAUAAUGAAUCAAGAAAUCCUGGAGUGGAGAAUCAUUCUGAAAGUAGACCAAAUACAGGACAACACCACAGCAGUGGUUGGAAAAAUGCAGCAGACAAUGAGCAAACCAAGCUGACUUUCAAAAGAUGAUUCGUUAUCUGUUUCUUCAAAGGGUAGGCAGUUUGGGAGAUGGGAAAUAGGAGGAUGCUACAGCUACACAGGGCGAAUUUCAGCAGCUCAGUUUCACACUUGCAACUAACAAUGAAUUAUAGUUAGAAGACAACGGAAAUAUUUGACAUGGGAGUCCAGCAGACAGCCAGAGACACGCACACACACGGAGCUGAAGCGCGUUUGACUGACGCGUACGGGAGAUCAGGCACGCGCACGGGAGCUCGCUCGCGCACGCACACACAAACACGGAGCACAGGAAAAUUACAACUGUUCAAUUAAAAUAAAAGAACUUUGUGGUAAACAAUGUUUAGCGUGUCUGAUUUCAUUGGUUGUAAUGAAAUAAAACGAUGUGCUGAGGACUUUAGGCGAACGUCCCCUAAAAGUCCCGAAAGUCCGCUGACCGUCCUGCAAACGUCCUUGUGAAAGUCCGGAGGACGUCUUCGCGGACGUCCGCUCGACGUAACAGGGGA